CCUUAAGGAGAUCAUUCUGAUCUGGCAGCGGGAUGGGGAGGAUCAGACUCAGGAGAUGGAACUUGUGGAGACCAGGCCUGCAGGGGAUGGAACCUUCCAGAAGUGGGCAGCAUGGUGGUGCCUGCUGGAGAGGAGCAGAGAUACACAUGCCAUGAGCACCAUGAGGGGCUGCCUGAGCCCCUCACCCUGAGAUGGGGUAAGGAGGGGAUGAAAGUACAGAGCCUGUUGGCAGGGAAAGUGGAAGCUCUUCUGGAGGGUCAGGGCUUAGAGCUGGGGGUCAGGGUCCCUCACCUACUUCCCCUUCUCUUCCCAGAGCCACCUUCUCAGUCCACCAUCCCUGUCAUGGGAAUUGUUGUUGGCCUGGUUCUCCUUAUAGCUGUAGUCACUGGAGCUGUGGUGUCUGUUAUGAUGCAGAGGAGGAAUGCAGAUAGAAGAGGAGUUAUCUAGGCUCCAAGUAAGUAUUGGGGGAGAAUGUUGUCUCUGGAACUUUUGGGAUAGUGUGUAUAGGAGCCCAUGGGGGAACUCA
rnacentral:lncRNA from 1 species